rnacentral:misc_RNA from 1 species
GAUGAAGAACGUAGCGAAAUGCGAUAAGUAAUGUGAAUUGCAGAAUUCAGUGAAUCAUCGAAUCUUUGAACGCACAUUGCGCCCGCCAUUAUUCUGGCGGGCAUGCCUGUCUGAGCGUCAUUUCAACCCUCAUGCCCCUAGGGCGUGGUGUUGGGGAUCGGCCAAAGCCCGCGAGGGACGGCCGGCCCCUAAAUCUAGUGGCGGACCCGUCGUGGCCUCCUCUGCGAAGUAGUGAUAUUCCGCAUCGGAGAGCGACGAGCCCCUGCCGUUAAACCCCCAACUUUCCAAGGUUGACCUCAGAUCAGGUAGGAAUACCCGCUGAACUUAAGCAUAUCAAUAAGCGGAGGA